AUUGAACGCUGGCGGCAUGCUUUACACAUGCAAGUCGAACGGUAACAGGUUAAGCUGACGAGUGGCGAACGGGUGAGUAGUGCAUCGGAACGUGCCCGAUCGUGGGGGAUAACGCAGCGAAGGCUGCGCUAAUACCGCAUACGAUCUGAGGAUGAAAGCGGGGGACCGUAAGGCCUCGCGCGAUCGGAGCGGCCGAUGUCAGAUUAGGUAGUUGGUGGGGUAAAGGCCCACCAAGCCGACGAUCUGUAGCUGGUCUGAGAGGACGACCAGCCACACUGGGACUGAGACACGGCCCAGACUCCUACGGGAGGCAGCAGUGGGGAAUUUUGGACAAUAGGCGAAAGCCUGAUCCAGCAAUGCCGCGUGCAGGAAGAAGGCCUUCGGGUUGUAAACUGCUUUUGUACGGAGCGAAAAGGUCCUUUCUAAUACAGGGGGCUCAUGACGGUACCGUAAGAAUAAGCACCGGCUAACUACGUGCCAGCAGCCGCCGUAA
rnacentral:rRNA from 1 species